GCUGCAGCAAGAGAUGGAGAAGAAGAAAAGCUAUUUGUCUUUAGGGUUUGCUCCUGCUGUCAGGGUUCCACCACUCAGAGGGGACCCAGCUCUCUGCGCACUGGUGUCACUUGAGGCUCACCAAGAGUCAGCAGAGUGUUUUGUAGGGUCACCACGUGUCCCAGUGCCAGACCACAUUUCAGAGCCAAGACAUGAAAGAAAUGGAUUCCUGGGCUGCAGAGUCAGGAACACAACAGUAACCAUCACUCGUGGGACCUGCCUGACUGGAGCUCAGCAGUGAACCCAAGCAAAGCUGGUGCAAGUCCCACCAUGCAGGAGGCUGAGCCCUCCAAGAGUGUGGCUGCUGCUUUCCAGGCUGAGCAGAUUCUCCAGUUUCCUGCACUUUCAGGUUUGGAUGAUCUCUUCAAGAGGUAGGACUAAAUAUACAAAAAGUUUUUUUUGCAGAAUUUGGUGUAAACCCUCCAGGUUUUUUUUCCAAACUUCUCUUUUAGGCUUAAAGCUACUAUAAAAUUGCUCUUUGCAUGGUUAGAGAGGCAAAUGGCCCAUUGUUAAGCAGUGUAAUGCAUUUUGGAAGGUGGAUACAGGGAAAGGUAAAAAUUUAUCUUGUGUGGAAGCUGUACAUUCUGGGGAGAAAGAGUUUUAAAUAAAAGCCAGCAUGAUUAGAGGAAAAGGGUAGAUAUAAUUGAUUGAAAGUCUUACAGGAGUAGUUUUCACACUGAUUAUCUGAUUGUCUUUUCAGUACAUACAUCUUUCUCUCUAGAAGUGGUGCCAGUUUGAGUCACUGCUUCCUGUGUUUUGUGGCUGCACAGGUGAGCUGGGCUGGGAGAAAGCCCCAGAGAAUUUCCUCACAUGCACAGGAAGGAUUACAGAGCCUGUGUUAGAUGCAUGAUGAAUCCUUGCAAGCUUCCUCAGCCAAAUUGUGCCAGCACUGGUGUCUCAGCUGUCACUGUGGGGUUUUAUCAUCUUUUUUACUCAGCCAGUUAGAGAAGUUGUCAACAAAAGUAUCAGUGUAUUAGAAAUAGUUUAAGAAAUUAUAAAAAUGCUCACCUCCGGUAUUUCUGUGCCCAUUUGUUGUUGCUGCUGGUAUUUACAUGAGAAUCAACACAAAUACCUUUAUUUAAUUGAGUACAGUAUAAUUUGCUUUUUACUUCCUUCUUCUCCAAAGAUAAGCACGUCUUACUCCUAUUUUAUUGAUUGAAAGUUGAAAUUUCCAUAACCACGCAGAGAGUCUUGCUGACAGAGCAGUGUAAGCAAAUUGUUUCAGAGGUGCUCCCUUCCCAGAGGAUGGGAUCGAAGAGGAUUUAUGGAAGAGCCUCACACAGAAAGGAGUUUUGCUCUUUCCCACAUGUAGACAGUGCUUACCAUGCCCAGUUCAGAUUGCUGAGUGAGAUCAUGGCCAUUGCCAACAAGGCAGGUGCAGCAUUUCAUGCACAAAUUUUUUGCCCAAGGUUACAGAAGCCCCUGCAGUCUGUAUUUGCUUACAAACAUGAGGGAUGAUCCAUGCACGUUCUCUGCAUUUGCAUUGGAUUAGCUGCAAUUUGCAGCACAAGUUCUUUUGGGUGAUGACAGUGAAAGCAUUAAACACCAGGGCCUGCUGGAGCUGUGCAAAACCCAACAGAGACACCCCUGUAGACUCUUGAUUUACUUAUUUGCACUGUAAGAAUCAGCUUGGGUGUCCACCUGUGGAAAUGCAGAGUGAAAUUCUGCUCAGAAAAGCUGUUUCAUCUGGUGGUAUAGCAGGGCCAGGCAUCCACUGGUGUCAGAAUGAAAAUGUGGCACAUUGUGUUUAGCCAGACCUGAUGAGAUGAAUUUUGAAAGUUGCUCAAGCUUGGAAAGCUUUACCUGAUUUGGGAGGAGAAUGAGCUGCAGAAAUGUUCAGCAGCCCCUGCAGAUCUCACUCGUGUUGAGCAACACAGGAUUAACAAAUCUUGGGCCUGGGAGGGGGAAAUCAUUGAGGGAGAAUAUGCAAAGCCUCUUGUUUGUAUCUGGGCAGUGGACAGCUCCAGUAAACCACUGAGGAGCUGGCAAGAGAAUGAAAAUCUGCAGUUAUUUCCUUUUCCAGCAGGUUUGUUUAACCCCUGACAGAAUCACUCCAGUAAAGGGGAAGGAUCUGGCCAAAGCUUCAGUCUUUGAAUUUUAAUCACUCUUUGAGCAGUUGGCUCAAAGCUGUAUUUCAGUUGACAAUAAAUCAUUAUUUAGACCUGUUUUUACCUUUCCACCUGAAAUUAGGACACUCAGGUUAACCCUACUGGUGACUGGGAGAGCCAUGGUGAGGGCACACGUGAGCAGAAUCUGAAUUCCAGUUUUCCCUCCUGUGUGCAGCACUUCCAGAGCUCCAGCACUUGCAAGCAGUUGUAUUAACACAUCUGGAACUGCUCCUGUGGGGAUCCAUCCUUUUGGGGAGCCCUCUGCAGCUCGGGGGCUCAGCCAGCCACGAAACCAAGUGAAAGAGCAAAUUCCUGGCAGGAGGGCACUGCCCCUCGUGCUGCUUUGCUGUGACAAACAGAGGAAGUGGUUACAAACCUCUGUCAAAUCUUCCCAUUUCACUCAGUUCCAGUAAUUAUUGGCAGGUCUAAUUGCCACCAGAUGGCUGUAUUUUAGUGUAGGACAGCAGCAAAGACCCCAAAAGCUUCUGUGAAUGUACAUGUUUUACCUGGAACCUUGGGAAGGCAGAGAACAGCACUGAUUGAAAUCUCACAGAGAUCACAGAAUCAAUUAGGCUGGAAAAGACCUCUGGGAUCAUUGAGUCCAACCUGUGACCCAACACCACCAUCUCAACCAGACCAAAUAAUGAUUUCUGAAACCAGGGGGAGUUGUGCUGACAGAUAGCAGAUAUUUCCGCAUUCUAAAACCAGACACAAAUAAAAUUGGCAGCACUCAACUAAAUGGGAGCAGGAAGGAAAAUGUGUUAGGGAAAGGAAAACAAAUGCUCCAUUUACCUAACAAUAAAACUUUAGAUAUAAAAAAAGAAGCAACCUGACAGUGUGAAAUACCUUUCAGUACUGCUUGCUCAGGGCAGCAUAAUAAUGCCUGACUGAGUAAUCUCAGCUGGGAGAUGUGAUGUGGUGGGAGAUGCAGAGGAUGUGUUUAAUCACCCUUUUUUUGCUAAGUGAGUCAGAUAAAAGACUAUGUGAGAACCACAGUCAGAGGAAGGAAGUUAUUGUCAGUCCUGGGCACUGAAACUGAAUGAGUUUACAUUUUUAAAGGUUUCAUACAUUACAGCCUUCUGGAAGAUUCAUUGAUUCAGGGAUCCUAAAACAACAGACAAACAGCCCAGUGUUAAAGGACAGUGUUGGCAAGGGAUGUACAGUCAGACUGCAGCUGUGGGAAUGUGGCCACAAGAUAUUGAUUUUGUAAAGUCCUGAAAUUAUUUGGGCCCUCUACCAUCUCCAUUACUGCUUUUAAACAGUCUGAAAAUGCCUGUGUUUGGAAGAAGCAAUUCUGUGCCAAAUUUCCCUGGCAAAUCCCAUCGCUCACUCUAAGAGAGGAGAAGUUGCUGAACUCACACAUGCAGGGAAAGGCAGUGAAUUACAGAGGUUUGCAGCCUCAUGUGGAGAGAAAAUUGCAGUAUUCAUAAAGGAGUAGCUGGAGGAAGUGUGUACAGAUGCUUCAGAGACCUCUUGUGCAAACAGACACCACCUUAACUUGCAGAUUUAGAAGCAGAAUUAACUUUGUUCUUCAGCACUGCUUAACUGCUUCACUGCCAUCACAGAUGGUACUGGAACACCUUCUGGGCUGCCUUUUUGUAGAAUUGAGUCGAAUAUUUUCCCCAAACGAAUCUCCUCCAGCAGCUCUCAUUGGAUUUGGUGCCUGGCCCCUGGUAACUUCUUCUUUAACUUCCAGUCUCUGACAAUUUACUGUUUUCUUAAUAUUUCACCUUGGACUUGUAGGGUAGUACCUGACAGACCUGAGUGUGUGCACUUGAUUUUACACCUUUGUUUUUCAAUUUAGACACAGCUGACUCUGGAAGGGAUUUAUUACAGCAUGAAAUACCUGAUUCAGCAGGGGUAACAUCACAUGGUGCCAUCCUCACUAGCAGAAGUUCCCUGAAUUCAUUUUGAAGUUUAUAAAAGACAUCAAGUAUCAGAAUGGUCACUUUUACAUACCAUGAAACAGUCAGGAUUACUCAGGGAGCUUGCAACAUGUUUGCUCUUUAUUUAGUUCAUGCAGAAUUCAUUACAUUUCAGAAGGGAAAUUUAUUUUGUACUAGAUAAAUAUACUUGACUCUAUAGAUUUUUAAAUUUAUAGUCUAUUUUAAAUCUAUAGACUCUAUUUUUUUAAAGUUCCUUUCUGUGUUAGGGAUGUUCACAUACCUACCACAGCCUUGGCAAACUAGCUUAGUCUUAUUUCCCUGUCACCCAG